rnacentral:rRNA from 1 species
AUGGGCGAAGCCUGAUCCAGCCAUGCCGCGUGUGUGAAGAAGGCCUUAGGGUUGUAAAGCACUUUAAGCAGGAAAGAAAAGCGCCGGAUUAAUAAUCCGAGCGUAUUGACGGUACCUGCAGAAUAAGCACCGGCUAACUCCGUGCCAGCAGCCGCGGUAAUACGGAGGGUGCAAGCGUUAAUCGGAAUUACUGGGCGUAAAGCGAGUGUAGGCGGUUGCGUGUGUCGGAUGUGAAAGCCCCGGGCUCAACCUGGGAAUUGCAUUCGAAACUGCGUAACUGGAAUAUGGUAGAGGAAGACGGAAUUCCACGUGUAGCGGUGAAAUGCGUAGAUAUGUGGAGGAACACCAAUGGCGAAGGCAGUCUUCUGGGCCAAUAUUGACGCUGAGGCUCGAAAGCGUGGGUAGCAAACAGGAUUAGAUACCCUGGUAGUCCACGCCGUAAACGAUGAGAACUAGACGUUGGCUGACAUAGUCGGCCAGUGUCGCAGCAAACGCGUUAAGUUCUCCGCCUGGGGAGUACGGCCGCAAGGUUGAAACUCAAAUGAAUUGACGGGGAAUCGAAUUCCCGCGGCCGCCAUGGCGGCCGGGAGCAUGCGACGUCGGGCCCAAUUCGCCCUAWGNGGNNGUCGUAUUA